AUUGUGAAUUGUGCUGCUAUAAACAUUCGAGUGCAGGUGUCUUUUUCAUAAAGUGACUUUUGAUCUUUUGGGAACAUUAUUAUUCAGAGCAUUGGAAUAGCUUUAUGACAGAUCUCUUUGUUUACUUAUUUUCCUGAUUUGGGAAAAUUUAUUUUAAGGAAAAGGUAACUAACCCCAUUUGGUUCAGUAGGAGUAUAGAAUUAUUUUUUAGUACUGUUAUUGGAUGCCAUCCCAAAAUGUCCAGAUAUAAGACUUUCAUUUUCUUACUGGAUAACAUUUUUAUUUUUUAGAUUUGAUGCUCUGGGCUUUAGAGGAGACUGUCUUACUUUCUGUUCAUUUCACGUUGUUACAAAGUUAGAAGAGUAUAAUGUAAGCCUUUGUCCAAGUUACAACAUUGUGGUAUUUUAUAGAUAUUCUGUGAUCACUGGCUGUUAAUGUUAUUUCUGGAUAGUUAUAUGAAAAUUGUUGCUAAGGCAGUGGCCCAGGCAUAAUUCCCAUGAGUGGUAGAAAUAACCUUAUAUAUUCUAUUACCAUAAAAUUAAUUCUCAGUAUAAGUUAAAACUGUAUGUCUCCACGGGCCAUCUUUCCCAUGAUUCAUUUCUGUGUCUUGAAUCCCCCAAAGUGCUUUUUUGCUUGAAAUCCAGGUUGGCCCAAAACAAGAAGUGUGAAUAAUCUCAUCAUAACAUAGCCUCUUCACUUGCAAAUGUGCUGAGUUUCUAUCCUUAGUGGCCUCCAUGCUGGAACUUCUAAAACUCUGGGGCUAGGAGGAUUACUGCUAGCCCUGCCAGCCUGUAACAUCAGAGUAUGACAGUGUCCAGCACAUACACAGUCAUUCACUGAAAAGCACUUUCAAAGUGCCUGAUGACACACACAUUAAGGUCGGUGCGAGGUAGGCACAAAAAGGUCUUUCUUGUUAGGUGUUUCUAUUGCAUUAUCUUAAUGUGAUCAGACACCUAAUUAUCAUUAUUAAAACUUGACAUUUUAUAAUAACUAUUAUUUGUUAUAAAUCUAAAUAUGCAAAAGUUGAGAGACAGCAUGUGCAUAUGUGUUAUACACACAGAUGACACAUACAGAAGGGUGUAUCAGUAAAAUUAAUUCCUAAAAAUAGAAUUGUUGGGUCUAUCAGUUAGAAUCAGGUUUGGCUUGGAUAACAGAAGACCCAAAUUUCAUAGUGAAAUUACUUCUCAUGUAAAAGAAGUCUAGGGCUGCUAUGACCACUGUAAGAAGUGACUGAGGAUAAGUCUUCUCUUAUACUGCCCCAGUGUAAGGUGAAAGUCAGCAAGUCACCCCUUGUGGUCCAUUCAGAUGUAGGCCAAAGGGAGGAAGGACAGCAGGAGGACAAAAGGAACUCACCCCUCACCAGGCUCAGCUGUCUUUAAACUGUCUUCCUCAAAUUCCAUGGAACUCUUACACUUCCAUGUCAUUCUACUUUCAGAAUUAAGUCACAGGACCACAUCUAACGUGAAGGAAGGCUGGAGAAUGUAAGCCUUUCCUCUGGGCCCAGCUAAAAAUCAAGAUUGUAUUAGUAAGGAAUAUGAGGAGUAUGGGUGGGGUGGACAUUAAGUGGUCGAUCUGCUCUUGUGCCUAGUAGAAGAGGAAGGUAAAAGAAACAAACCUAAACCUGCUGCUCACUCAGCUCUAUUCCUCACAUGCAAACCGCAGCAUUGAGCAACAGCUGAAAAAGGUGACAGACACAGAUGAAACACUACAAAAUGACUCUGGGGAUCCUCUCACCCUCUCCUCUUUUAUUAAUGGCUAAUUGUUCAUAAAGCCUUAAGGGUCCUCAGCAGAGCCAGGCCAGAACAUUCAAAGUGCUGCAGCCAUGUAUAUCUCCCUCUCUUGCUUUCCCUUUUUCAUCCCAUUAUCUUGUAUUCCUUCUUAAUUAUGUAGGGAAAGAGCAGAAAGUUGGCUAGAGUUGAAUUGCCCAGUUUCAUCUUUUGCAGUUAAGGAAAUAUCAGCUGUUCAUAAGCUAAAGCAGUGGACUAUCAAAACUGCAAGAGUCUCAGAUUUGCCCCUUCUAAGUUCCAAACCUCUUGGGUCAGAGACAAAGGAAUUUAUUAUUCACUCAUGACACAGCAAGCAACAUUAGCAACAGCAUAUUUUGCAUCAAUUCCCUCUUUGCCCUCAAGUUCCACCAGGGUAACACAGAUGUGCCCAGGUUGAUGCCUCCACACGUAGUGAGUUGCACAGGAACCCUGAGUUUAGGGAUCCUAACCUUUUGUAAUGAGUAGUAAGUAUGUCUGUUCUCUGCUCUGGAGGGAGAAACUAUCACUAUCUUGCAGGGCUGUUCACUAUGCAAAUACAAACACCUUUAAAAGGUAGUCCAAAACAACGAGCCAUUAUUAUUUUACUUGCAAGACAUGCAAUAACACAAGACCUAUAGAAAAUUAUCUCCCAAUGUGGAUUUGUUAAUCUUCUAAGUAUCUGGUAUUCCCACUUCCCUUUCAAUCCACAAAUUAACAUCAGGACUCAGCUGUCUUUCUUAGGAUGACUGCUAGGUUUUAGCUGUUUGAAAGAACCUGAUAAACUUGUUUCUGGAGAAACAGCUAAUAUUAUAGGGUAAUACCAUUCCACCUAGUGCUUCAGGGAGUUGGAAAUUUGUUACUUGAAGGUAACUUUGAACCUGAAAAUGGCGCAGCAGCAUCUGUUCCUGUGUAUUUUUCCUCCUUUGUCUUGACGUGAAGGAAUUAAUCUCAGUGGCCCACAUGUGUAUGGUGAUCUACUAAGCCUUAGGGGAAAACCUAAUACCUCAUUGUGCCGUGAUGCCACACACAGUUCUUAUUAGCAAAUGAACAACCUUACUAAGGGGAAAGAGUUGGAAUCUUCAGGACACUCAGGUAAAGCUUCAGGAAGUUGGGGGAGAGAAUCUAAGGGCUAAACCUGCUGAGUCAGACUUAACCAAGGAGGAUAGAUAAAAGGCCAGGGGUCCUGCAUCCUCAGGAAUGGCCUUAGAAAUACCGAAAACUAGCGUGUGGGGACCAGUGAUUCCUGGAGCACUGUGACACUUGCUGGUUGAGGAGCAGGCUCACCCCCAACUCUCCACCAUACUGUGACCUCUUCUUCAUAGGCUCUUCUGUCUCUUCCAGACACAAACAGGGUCUGAAAGAACUGUCUCCUAAAUUCCUUUAGCCCUUGAAGCACCCAGUUACAGGAAUUUUCCAUUUCUACUAUGUGUUCGGCUUUUGUCAUCUCUUAUGUGACUACCCUUGCCAAUUAGUCUUAUCCCUCCUGCCCUUUGGGUGCUAGAUGCUACACCACUGAUGCUGGUAUUCCCAGUUCCUUAAGUGCUUUCCCGCUUACCUAGCAGUGUAUAUGAAGUUAGAUUAGAGACUAGUAUGUAUUAGUACUGAAGCAUUGCAUUCCUGUUGUGGCCUUUAGAAAAACUGAUUUAUCCCAUGCACAGUCAACCUGCUUUAUUCAUCUUAGUUUAGAGAAUAGUACUAAUAUUAAUUUGCACAUUUGGGAACAUCCUAGAUUUUAAAUUAAAAAUGUGUUAUAUCUGAGUAGCUCAGUUGAUGCUUUUUCAGAAAUAUGGAAUAAAUGCUUGGUUCUUUAGUAAGUGAAAAUGUUCUUUUUUUGAUUUGAUCAUUUUAUGUGGACUUUUGAGCUUUCUGCUGGUGCUCAUCUCUCUGUGUAAUUGGCACCCAGGGAUGUCCUGAAAUAAAUGGUUGAUUAUCUCUCAGCAUUUUAGCAAUAUCAUCAUAUUGGUCAUCAACCACUUUUGCAUCCUGUGGUUUUAAAUAAGAAAAAACUCUUGCAAAACCAUUACAGUGAAAUACUACACAGGCAGAUGAGGUUAUAGGUUAGAGGAGACAGUUCCUCAGGAAGCUCCUCAUUAGCUGAAUUUCAGUGGGGUCCACAGGGGACAGAAGGUACUACUGGCCAUGUCAAUGUACAGAAUUGGCUGUGUGGUACUCUUUAUUCCCAUGAAGAAAAGUUGUUUUGUUUGCUACAGCCAACAUGAGAUACUCUGUUAUGUGGCAUUUACUUACUUUUUCCGCUUCUUUCUCCAGUAACACCUUGAUUUAUGGUGACUGUUAGGAUAAUUAACACUGACACUUAGAAGAUAGCCUGCUUCCAAAUGCAUGCACUCUUGUCUGUUUUGUAAAUACUAGUCCAAACUUUUUCCUUCCCUAGCUCAAAACUAUCUCCACUCCUUUCAGUAUUUCCAGGGUGUGGGCCUGUGCGUAGCUGUGUCACUGUGCCCACACAUUGGCAUAUAUUUCAUAGCUACCAAAAAGAAACCAGUUGCUCUUGAAAUAACAAGAUGAAAAAGAACGGUUUUUCUGAGCCAUAACAUCUGAAGAGCUAGAAACAGUUGUGUUUGUAUGUGCGAUGUUAAAGCCAGUAAAUUUCAUUUGAAGGAAGGGAUUGUAAACUAAGAACAGAAAAGCAGUUUCCUGGAUUUCAGAUGUCAAACUCUCAAGCUGUUUAACUCACCCACUCAGCACCUCCACAUCCAUCCCUUUAAUGUGCUUGCAUUGUCAGUGAUUUCUGUUUCUGCAGCAUUUGAUGCCAGAAGACAAAUAAUAAAAUAGUAUGCAUAUGUAACCUUAAAGCAGCUUUCUACCAGAGUUUUUGAUUGAGGUUAAACAGAAGCAUCCUGAUCAUGUUGUCAGUUGGCAGGCAAAAGGCAUCAUAUUUUAAGACUCACAUAGUUUUAAAGCAAACUGAUCUUUUCUGGCUCAGUAAUAAACUAAUUACAUGUUUUAAAUAGUGCAGAGCUGAGUCCCUGUUUCAGAUUAGGCCUCAUAAUAGCAAGAUCCAGGGCAAUAGCAGACAUUUGCCUGAUGUGUCUGGCUUGAGGAUCCAUAGCAUCAAGCCAGCUGUUUUAGGGCCUGAGUAGGCCUGCCAGGAACAGCUAGGUAGUGCUGGCUUGACUCGGUCAUGGGCUAACUGUCCCUGAGCACAAAGGCCACCAGAUGUGCCACAACGAAGGCCGGGAUACAUAACAGUUCAGUUUAUGGCUGUAAUCAUGUUCGGUCAUUCCCCAAAACAGUGAUCCCAGAUUGAAUUAGGACAUGGCAAGAGUGUCCCUUUUGGGGUGUGUCUGAGAAGAAAAGGUAUCAUUUCUAAACAAAAUAUUAAUAGUUUUAGAAGAUGAGCAAAUCUAAUUCCAAUAAGACUUGUUUCAUGGCUUGUCAAUUUCCUGCCUUUUUCCUCGAUUUUAUAAUCCUUGGGACCACGUGACAAACACUGGAUUUAAUUGCAAAGAUUUUGUAGUCUUUAAAGCUUCUUGUUCUUUGAUCACCUGUUAGCAGCUGCCUCCCUCCUUGGGCAGGUUUGUGACUUCAGAGAGAAACAGUGCCCUGGUGAGAGCUUCACUUUUACAGUGAGCCUCAGGCUUGAUUUCUAGUACCACCACCUCCUAGAUAAGUUGCUUAACCUUUCUGCACCUCAGUUUCCCCCUGACAGGCUUGUUGUGAAAACAAAAUGAGAUUAGAUUUGUCAAGCACAGAGCAUUGGCCCUGGUCAGCCCCAAACACAUGACUGUCCUUCAGACUGCAGGUAAAGUGGACUCUGGUUUUGGAUUUCCCUUGCUGCCCAGGUGCUUGCUUAGAGGAGACUUAGAACCAGGGUGUGUUGUUUGUGGUUUUGAGUGUGCCACCAAGAACUCUGAGCCAUCCCGAGACAGCUAGGGAGUCAGUUCUUCAUCUUGGGUGGCCUGAGACACCUGCCGAGCCCUCACUUUGUCAAGUAGUACGUUAUCAUAUUGCUCCUCUUUCUGUCCCUUAUUAUAGAGAACCUUAGUUAUAAUAUUAUAAUAGAGAACCUUAAAAGAUGUUACUUCAGAUUUUACAAUGGAAACUUACUUCCAUCUUCACUCAUGUCAGGAUCAUUCAUUGGUCUCAUGUUUUUAUCAUAUCUCAUUUUAAAGUAUAAUUCAGGUCUAUUUUGUAGCUCCUGCCCCCUUCCCACUAAUUCAUUUAUUUAAAAAAAUAUUUUUUGAGCAUUUACUAUGUGCCAGACCCUAUGCCAGCUGUAGCUGAAGCUAUAAUAAGACGUGGUAUCUGGUUUAAAGAGCCACACUGUGUUAGAAGAGACAUACUCCCUGCAUUUCAUCCUUUCAAUUGGUAUGUUGAUCCAGACACUGGGACCGCUGUUCUGUUUCUAGGUGGUACUACUUUUACAUCUCAAAGCUAGGGGAUUGGAGUUUGUCCCAGCCCUGUUGCCACGUAUGAGCUGAUUGGAUUCAGGUAUGCCCAAACCUCUUUGGUCCUUAGUGUCUUUCAGUGUGCAGUUAGGACUGCUUGUUUCACAACACAAAGGUUUCCCAGCCCUCUCCAUGUUCCCCAGUACUACCCUUUGUACUGAGCUUCUAGGCCUGAUCACUUGUCAAAUGUCAUGGAAGUGAUUCUAAACUCUCUCAUGUGCUUCUGAAUUCUGGGUGUGUAUUUCCAAUGCCCUUUAUCCUCUCCGUUUCCACACACACUAAGUUUUCAAACUGGAAGAAGGUGCAGCCUUAUUUUUUCUUUAAAUCUAAGUGAAUAUUAUGUUAAUAAUAAAACUGUUUCUGAUCUACUUCAUGGCUUUUAUGAUGUCAUGGCUUUUAACCCCUUGAGGCAUCCAUUUGUAUGGCUACCUGUCCAUGGAUCUUAAGGGGGAAUUUUAGUAGCAUGUGUUUACUGAGCCCCUUGUGACAAAGUGAGACUGAUUCAGUAGCACCAGGGGACAAGCUUAGAGAAUGACAGCAGGGGUGGCCAAAUGCUGCAACUUUAACCUACUUUCUGGGGACUGUCAUUCUGUCGACUGCAUCCCCUUAGCUGCUGCUUCCUCAUUCUGUGGGGAGCAGGACGGGGGGUGGAAGUAGGAGAGUUUUGGGGGGAGGGCCAGCAUGCUGCAGGGAGUGGGUGUGGGCAGAAGCUGCAAGACUGCCAGGGUUCUCUGUGUGCCGGAAGUGCAGGUUUGGCUAUGAGGAAUGGAAUGUUCUCUCUUGCCCUCCAAGAGCAGAAACAGCUGUGGAAGAGCUUGAAAGAAGAUUACUAA